ACCAUCAGCAUGAGCCUGUCGCAUUGCAUUCAUCAAACGCUGAAUAGCAAAGCCUCUACGCGAUUUCAUAGUGGAGGCCUCCAGCAAUCUUGAACACUCAUCCUUAAUACCUUUCUUUUUGGGGUAAUUAUACUCAUCGCGAAUAUCCUUAAGAGGGCGUUCAGCAGCCAGCUUGCGGCAAAACUGCGUAAAGAUCGGAAGAGCGG
rnacentral:rRNA from 1 species